rnacentral:rRNA from 1 species
UCCCGUCGUCCCGGGGCCGGACCGGACCGGCACCGGGUAGGAGUAACACGUAUGUACUACGCCCUAUGCAGGGGGAUAACCCGGAGAAAUCCGGCCUAAUACCGCGUAACACCUUUUGGGAGCAUUCCCGGGAGGUUAAAGGAGAGAUCCGGCAUAGGAUGGACAUGCGUCGCAUUAGGUAGACGGCGGGGUAACGGCCCACCGUGCCGACGAUGCGUAGGGGUUCUGAGAGGAAGGCCCCCCACACUGGUACUGAGACACGGACCAGACUCCUACGGAAGGCAGCAG